GAUGAAGAACUCAGCGAAAUGCGAUACGUAAUGUGAAUUGCAAAUUCAGUGAAUCAUCGAGUCUUUGAACGCACAUUGCGCCCCCUGGUAUUCCGGGGGGCAUGCCUGUCCGAGCGUCAUUGCUGCCCUCAAGCACGGCUUGUGUGUUGGGCCCCGUCCUCCGAUCCCGGGGGACGGGCCCGAAAGGCAGCGGCGGCACCGCGUCCGGUCCUCGAGCGUAUGGGGCUUUGUCACCCGCUCUGUAGGCCCGGCCGGCGCUUGCCGAUCAACCCAAAUUUUUAUCCAGGUUGACCUCGGAUCAGGUAGGGAUACCCGCUGAACUUAAGCAUAUCAAUAAGCGAGGA
rnacentral:misc_RNA from 1 species